rnacentral:rRNA from 1 species
AUUGAACGCUGGCGGAAUGCUUUACACAUGCAAGUCGAGCGGCAGCACGGGGGCAACCCUGGUGGCGAGCGGCGAACGGGUGAGUAAUACAUCGGAACAUGCCCAGUCGUGGGGGAUAACACUUCGAAAGAAGUGCUAAUACCGCAUACGUCCUGAGGGAGAAAGCGGGGGAUCGCAAGACCUCGCGCGAUUGGAGUGGCCGAUGUCAGAUUAGCUAGUUGGUGGGGUAAAGGCCUACCAAGGCAACGAUCUGUAGCUGGUCUGAGAGGAUGAUCAGCCACACUGGGACUGAGACACGGCCCAGACUCCUACGGGAGGCAGCAGUGGGGAAUUUUGGACAAUGGGGGCAACCCUGAUCCAGCCAUUCCGCGUGAGUGAAGAAGGCCUUCGGGUUGUAAAGCUCUUUCGGCAGGAACGAAACGGUGAGCUCUAACAUAGCUUGCUAAUGACGGUACCUGAAGAAGAAGCACCGGCUAACUACGUGCCAGCCGCCGCAGUAAGAC